rnacentral:rRNA from 1 species
UGGGGAAUAUUGCACAAUGGGGGAAACCCUGAUGCAGCGACGCCGCGUGAGCGAAGAAGGUUUUCGAAUCGUAAAGCUCUGUCCUAUGAGAAGAUAAUGACGGUAUCAUAGGAGGAAGCCCCGGCUAAAUACGUGCCAGCAGCCGCGGUAAUACGUAUGGGGCGAGCGUUGUCCGGAAUUAUUGGGCGUAAAGGGUACGUAGGCGGUCUAUUAAGUCAGGUGUGAAAGCGUGAGGCUUAACCUCAUUAAGCACUUGAAACUGAUAGACUUGAGUGAAGGAGAGGAAAGUGGAAUUCCUAGUGUAGCGGUGAAAUGCGUAGAUAUUAGGAGGAAUACCGGUGGCGAAGGCGACUUUCUGGACUUGAACUGACGCUGAGGCACGAAAGCGUGGGGAGCAAACAGG